rnacentral:rRNA from 1 species
CAGUCGCCACGGUAAUACGUAGGUGGCAAGCGUUGUCCGGAAUUAUUGGGCGUAAAGCGCGCGCAGGUGGUUUAAUAAGUCUGAUGUGAAAGCCCACGACUCAACCGUGGAGGGUCAUUGGAAACUGUUAAACUUGAGUGCAGGAGAGAAAAGUGGAAUUCCUAGUGUAGCGGUGAAAUGCGUAGAGAUUAGGAGGAACACCAGUGGCGAAGGCGGCUUUUUGGCCUGUAACUGACACUGAGGCGCGAAAGCGUGGGGAGCAAACAGGAUUAGAUACCCCUGUAGUCCCUGUCUCUUAUAC